rnacentral:tRNA from 1 species
GGGGGUCUAGCUCAGAUGGUAGAGCGCUCGCUUCGCAUGCGAGAAGUACUGGGAUCGAUACCCAGGUCCUCCA